AAAACUAGCCAGUCUUUUGGGUAUGNGUAUGAAACCCAUUUGGGCGAGAGUAGUACUAGGAUGGGUGACCUCCUGGGAAGUCCUCGUGAAAGGGUUUC
rnacentral:rRNA from 1 species